UGGGGAAUUUUGGACAAUGGGCGAAAGCCUGAUCCAGCAAUGCCGCGUGUGUGAAGAAGGCCUUCGGGUUGUAAAGCACUUUUGUCCGGAAAGAAAUCCUUGGCUCUAAUACAGUCGGGGGACGACGGUACCGGAAGAAUAAGCACCGGCUAACUACGUGCCAGCAGCCGCGGUAAUACGUAGGGUGCAAGCGUUAAUCGGAAUUACUGGGCGUAAAGCGUGCGCAGGCGGUUUGCUAAGACCGAUGUGAAAUCCCCGGGCUCAACCUGGGAACUGCAUUGGUGACUGGCAGGCUAGAGUAUGGCAGAGGGGGGUAGAAUUCCACGUGUAGCAGUGAAAUGCGUAGAGAUGUGGAGGAAUACCGAUGGCGAAGGCAGCCCCCUGGGCCAAUACUGACGCUCAUGCACGAAAGCGUGGGGAGCAAACAGGAUUAGAUACCCUGGUAGUCCACGCCCUAAACGAUGUCAACUAGUUGUUGGGGAUUCAUUUCCUUAGUAACGUAGCUAACGCGUGAAGUUGACCGCCUGGGGAGUACGGUCGCAAGAUUAAAACUCAAUGAAUUGACGGGGUCAUAGCUGUUUCC
rnacentral:rRNA from 1 species